rnacentral:rRNA from 1 species
AUUGAACGCUGGCGGAAUGCUUUACACAUGCAAGUCGAACGGCAGCACGGACUUCGGUCUGGUGGCGAGUGGCGAACGGGUGAGUAACAUAUCGGAACGUAUCCAAUAAUGGGGGAUAACGAGUCGAAAGAUUCGCUAAUACCGCAUACGCCCUACGGGGGAAAGCUGGGGACCUUCGGGCCUGGCGUUAAUGGAGCGGCCGAUAUCUGAUUAGCUAGUUGGUGAGGUAAAGGCUCACCAAGGCGACGAUCAGUAGCUGGUCUGAGAGGACGACCAGCCACACUGGGACUGAGACACGGUCCAGACUCCUACGGGAGGCAGCAGUGGGGAAUUUUGGACAAUGGGCGCAAGCCUGAUCCAGCCAUUCCGCGUGAGUGAAGAAGGCCUUCGGGUUGUAAAGCUCUUUCGCAAGGGAAGAAAACUUAGCCACUAACAUUGGUUGAGGUUGACGGUACCUUGAUAAGAAGCACCGGCUAACUACGUGCCAGCAGCCGCCGCAG